rnacentral:rRNA from 1 species
GGCAGACGGGUGAGUAACACGUUGGAACGUACCCUUUGGUUCGGGACAACUCUGGGAAACUGGAGCUAAUACCGGAUACGCCCUUUUGGGGAAAGGUUUACUGCCGAAGGAUCGGCCCGCGUCUGAUUAGCUAGUUGGUGGGGUAACGGCCUACCAAGGCGACGAUCAGUAGCUGGUCUGAGAGGAUGAUCAGCCACACUGGGACUGAGACACGGCCCAGACUCCUACGGGAGGCAGCAGUGGGGAAUAUUGGACAAUGGGCGCAAGCCUGAUCCAGCCAUGCCGCGUGAGUGAUGAAGGCCUUAGGGUUGUAAAGCUCUUUUAUCCGGGACGAUAAUGACGGUACCGGAGGAAUAAGCCCCGGCUAACUUCGUGCCAGCAGCCGCGGUAAUACGAAGGGGGCUAGCGUUGCUCGGAAUCACUGGGCGUAAAGGGCGCGUAGGCGGCGUUUUAAGUCGGGGGUGAAAGCCUGUGGCUCAACCACAGAAUGGCCUUCGAUACUGGGACGCUUGAGUCUGGUAGAGGUUGGUGGAACUGCGAGUGUAGA